rnacentral:rRNA from 1 species
UGGGGAAUUUUGGACAAUGGGCGAAAGCCUGAUCCAGCAAUGCCGCGUGUGUGAAGAAGGCCUUCGGGUUGUAAAGCACUUUUGUCCGGAAAGAAAUCCUUGGCUCUAAUACAGUCGGGGGAUGACGGUACCGGAAGAAUAAGCACCGGCUAACUACGUGCCAGCAGCCGCGGUAAUACGUAGGGUGCAAGCGUUAAUCGGAAUUACUGGGCGUAAAGCGUGCGCAGGCGGUUUGCUAAGACCGAUGUGAAAUCCCCGGGCUCAACCUGGGAACUGCAUUGGUGACUGGCAGGCUAGAGUAUGGCAGAGGGGGGUAGAAUUCCACGUGUAGCAGUGAAAUGCGUAGAGAUGUGAGAAUACCGAUGGCGAAGGCAGCCCCCUGGGCCAAUACUGACGCUCAUGCACGAAAGCGUGGGGAGCAAAACAGGAUUAGAUACCCUGGUAGUCCACGCCCUAAACGAUGUCAACUAGUUGUUGGGGAUUCAUUCCUUAGUACGUAGCUAACGCGUGAAGUUGACCGCCUGGGGAGUACGGUCGCAAGAUUAAAACUCAAAUGAAUUGACGGGGUCAUAGCUG